rnacentral:misc_RNA from 1 species
UAAUAAGUGGUUUUAUGCACUUUUUAAAUCCAUAUCCACCUUGUGUGCAAUGUCAGUCGAUCUUCUUCAUGGAGAUCGACCAAACAUCAACCUUUAUUUUUUAACUCUUUGUCUGAAAAAAUAUUAUGAAUAAACAAUUCAAAAUA